GGGCUAAGGGGCUUACCGCUUACUGAACCCAAUCAAACUCGGAAUGCCAGUACUCCAUAGCAUGGCAGUCGGACUACGGGAGAUGAGUUUCGUGGUCGAAAGGGAAACAGCCCAGAUCAUCGGCUAAGGUCCUCAAAUCUAUGCUAAGUGGGAAACGAGGUGAGGUUACUUGAACAACCAGGAGGUUGGCUUAGAAGCAGCCACCCUUUAAAAAGUGCGUAAUAGCUUACUGGUCUAGUGACCUUGCGCGGAAAACUUAACGGGGCUAAGCAUAGUACCGAAGCCAUGGGACUUGCGCGAGCAAGUCGGUAGGGGAGCGUUCCGUCAGCGGUGAAGGUCGAUCGUAAGGGCGACUGGAGCGGACGGAAGUGAGAAUGCAGGCAUGAGUAGCGUAUAAACACGUGAGAACCGUGUUCGCCGUAAAUCUAAGGUUUCCGACGCCAGGUCAUUCCGCGUCGGGUUAGUCGGUCCUUAGCCGAGGCCGAAAGGCGUAGGUGAUGGACAUCCGGUCAACAUUCCGGAACCGCUCAAGAGGAGCGAUGGGAGGACGCAGCGAGGUAGGCCAGCCUGCGAUUGGUUGUGCAGGUGCGAUCCAUCUAGGCGUUGAGGCUUGUAGGAAAACCCGCAAGCCGAGCUGAGGUGAGAGCGAGCCCCUGAGGCAUAAGUGGUUGAGCCUUGCUGCCGAGAAAAGUCCCUAAGCAUUGAGUCUUGAGCGCCCGUACCGCAAUCCGACACCGGUAGAUGGGUAGAAUAUACCAAGGCGAACGGGAGAACUCUCGUUAAGGAACUAGGCAACAUGACCCCGUAACUUCGGGAGAAGGGGUGCCUUCUAGCGUUCGGGUAACCAAAGCGCUGGAGGGUCGCAGAGAAAUGGCUCUAGUGACUGGUUAACAAAACCACAGGUCUCUGCAAAGCCGUAAGGCGAUGUAUAGGGGCUGACGCGUGCCCAGUGCCGGAAGGUUAAGGGGAGAGGUUAGGCGCAAGCCGACGCUUUGAACCGAAGCCCCGGUGAACGGCGGCCGUAACUAUAACGGUCCUAAGGUUAACAUUUUGCUAGCCUUAGUAAAAUCGAACUAUAUGCGGGAAAGUCCUCUACAGCCAAGUGGUACUCGUCGUAAUCACAUACGGCAGUAAAAAUCCACUGGACAUGGGGAUAAUCCGCAGGGAAGGCUUCCAUGGAAAAUGAAGUUUUGGAAGAACCCUCAGAGACUUUACGUUCGAUCUCGCCCUCUUCGAGAUUAGAAGCGCAAUGGGUGGUAGGGUUUGUGGAUGGAGAAGGAUGUUUUUAUGUCGGCAUCAAUGCCCAACCUGAAAUGACAACAGGCUAUCAGGUAUUACCUGAAUUUACAGUGGUUCAGCACCAACGUGAUGUUCAACUGUUAUAUGCUCUGAAACAAUUUUUCGGUUGUGGCGUUGUAAGAAAAAAUCACGGUGAUCGCAUGGCUUAUCGAGUGAGAAGUCUUGAUCACCUCACCAAAUACAUUGUUCCAUUCUUUGAAAAACAUCCUUUGAAAUCGAAAAAGCGCCUUGAUUUUCUGAAAUUCAGAAAAAUAUUGAUCAUGAUGCAGCGCAACGAACACCUGACCCCUGAUGGAAUCGAAAAGAUUCGUCAGAUGGCUUCUGAGAUGAAUAGAGGACGGGAAAGAUAAAGUCCGGCUUCUCUGGAAACAGAGUGAGAUAAUCCGAGCGAAAUUCCUUGUCGGGUAAGUUCCGACCCGCACGAACCGCGUAACAACUAGAGCACUGUCUCAACGAGAGACCCGGUGAAAUUGAAAUGGCUGUGAAGAUGCGGCCUACCCGCAGCAGGACAAAAAGACCCCGUGGAGCUUUACUGCAGUUUGGCAUUGCGUUUGGGUAUCGUCUGUGUAGGAUAGGUGGGAGGCUUUGAAGCUGGGGCGCUAGCUUCGGUGGAGCCGCCGGUGAAAUACCACCCUGAUGAUAUUUAGACCCUAACCCCACACCGUCAUCCGGGUGGGGGACCGUGCCAGAUGGGCAGUUUGACUGGGGCGGUCGCCUCCUAAAAGGUAACGGAGGCGCCCAAAGGUUCCCUCAGGUGGAAUGGAAACCCACCAAAGAGUGUAAAGGCAUAAGGGAGCUUGACUGCAAGACCAACGCGUCGAGCAGAGACGAAAGUCGGGCUUAGUGAUCCCACGACUCAGUGUGGAAUGGUCGUGGCUUACCGGAUAAAAGCUACCCCGGGGAUAACAGGCUGGUGACGUCCAAGAGUCCAUAUCGACGACGUCGCUCGGCACCUCGAUGUCGGCUCAUCGCAUCCUGGGGCUGGACAAGGUCCCAAGGGUCGGGCUGUUCGCCCGUUAAAGCGGUACGCGAGCUGGGUUCAGACCGUCGUGAGACAGGUCGGUCUCUAUCCGCUGUGGGCGUAAGGGAUUUGAGAGGAUCUGCCCCUAGUACGAGAGGACCGGGGUGGACGGACCUCUGGUGUGCCAGUUGUCGUGCCAACGGCAUUGCUGGGUAGCUACGUCCGGCAGAGAUAACCGCUGAAAGCAUCUAAGUGGGAAACUCGCCUCAAGAUGAGAUCCCUGUGUUCCCGUAAGGGAGUAAGACCCCAGGUAGACUACCUGGUAUAUAGGCAACAAGUGUAAGCGCGUAUAUCUAAAGGCGUUCAGCUAAGUUGUACUAAUGGUCGAGGGCUGAUCC
rnacentral:rRNA from 1 species